CCAGGGCGUACACACGUACGUACAAUGGCAGGUACAAAAGGGCAGGCCACUUAGCGAUAAAGGCGCGAAUCCCAUAAAACCUGUCUCAGUCCGGAUUGGAGUCUGCAACUCGACUCCAUGAAAGUUGGAAUCGCUAGUAAUCGCAGAUCAAGCACGCUGCGGUGAAUACCGUUCCCGGGCCUU
rnacentral:rRNA from 1 species